GAGUAGAGCAGCCUCCACAUGUAAGAAGAAAAAAAAUCCCAUCGAAUUAUCAGUGAAAUCAAUCAGAUCUGAAAUUGAGAAUAUGAGUGGGGUAUUCACAAUUUCCUCACUGUAUGCUCCUGCUCCUGCUCAUACUCAUCGGCUCCAACCUAAUUGCAUCAUUCCCCCAUGGAAUUCCUCUUUUCCAAUCACAAACAGAAGCGGAAAUGUUGCACCACUCAAUUUCACUUGUAACUUCAGCUCCAACCCUCCUCCUGGUGAAAAUGAGAGUAAGAAUGUCCUUGAUGCGUUCUUCUUAGGUAAAGCUCUGGCAGAAGCAGUUACUGAGCGCAUAGAGUCUACAGUAGGGGAGUUCCUAAGUACAGUUGGCAGAUUGCAAUCGGAGCAACAAAAGCAAGUUCAGGACUUCCAGGAGGAGAUUCUUGAAAGAGCCAAACAAGCCAAAGAGAAAGCAGCACGUGAGACGAUGGAAACACAAGGACUUAUUUCCAACUCAUAUGAAGCAGACACAUCGACAGCAACUGCAGCCUCAGCUUCUGGGAGCGUAGCUAGUCCGCCGCUGACAAACAUAAAUUCCCAGCCUGCCAAGGACUCUGAGAUAGGGAUAUCAAAUGGAGAUUGAUACUGUAGUUGUAUUGCAUUCGUCCUUGUAAUGAAAUACCUAGUUAGAGUUGUCCAAUGGAACAGUAUGAUACUUGUGGAAGAGCCUUAUUUCUUCUCUCCCCCAACCUGUCCCCCCCUCUGUAUCUCUCUUUUACGUAAUUUAGGGUUUGAUCAGCACCAUGGAUGUUGAGGCAGGCGAGUUCCAAGAGUGGGAGAUGAUUCCCUCGAACCGGGCAUCUGACUCGGAACCGUUAACUCCGGAUGGUUCAGCCGGAAACUCGAACGGUGUCGAUGAAGUUGGAUCUGAGACGAUCGGUGUGAUUCAACCCAAUUACUUUUCUCUAGACUCUCAAAUCAGGUAUAUGAGUACGUUUUCUAAGGAUGGAAGCGAGGAGGACUCUGAAAAAUCGGAUAAUCCGAGUUGGAUUGAGCCCGAUUCUGAUAACAACGAGUUUACCAUGAAGAAUUCUCGCGAAUUAUGGUCGGAUUCCGGCAGUGAGGGUAAAAAUGAAUUGGCUUUUGAAGAGAUGAAAAGUGAAAAUGGUGAAGAAUUUAGGCCGGUCUCUGUGGAAUUUGGUGCUGGAGAAAAUAGUCAGCUCCAACAAGUUUCUGUUGAAGAAAAUCAGGAAAAGGAAAAUGGAAAUGUUGAAGGUGAAGGUGAACAGAGGAGGGAUGCAGGGAACCAAAAGAAGAGCCUAGUGUGGUGGUGGAAGGUUCCAAUACAUCUUGUCAAGUAUUGUGCUGCUUUUAGAGUUAGCCCUGUGUGGACAUUUUCUGCUGCUGCUGCUGCUAUUAUGGCUUUCGUUAUUUUGGUUCGUAGGUUAUCUAAGAUGAAGAAAAACACCAAGGCAUUGAAGCUCAAACUAACUGUGGAUGACAAGAAUGUAUCUCAGUUCACAAACCGUGCUGCACGCCUUAACGAAGCAUUCUCUAUUGUGAAGCGGGUUCCUCUCAUUCGGCCACAGUUGCCAGCCGCUGGAGACACAGUGUGGCCUCUGAUGACUUUGAGAUAGGCUGUAAUAUUUCCCCAUUUGAUAUGUUGUGUCGCUUCAGCGAUUGUAUAAUCUACUAUGUUUACUGCUGUUGUUUGAUCUCAAACCUAUGUAUAUUCACUGGCCAAAGAAAUUGCUGGCUUAUGCUUCUUUAUAUAGAAAGCUGCUUUUUGAUCUCAAA
rnacentral:misc_RNA from 1 species